UUCAUCUAAUCACUUGGAUUCUUAUAUAUGAAUAUAUAUUUAUUCAACUCUACUAAUUAUCAAGUUUAUCCAAUUGUGAUCGGUGUGUGUGUGUGUGUUUAAUCAAUAACAAUUUAAUCACUAAUUGUUUAUUAAAUAUUGAACGAUUAAACUUUUCAUCAAUAUCCUCAUUCUUCAUGAUUCUCAUUAAUUCAUCGGUUUUGUUAGUGUCAAUUUAAUUGUGAAUUUAAUAUCUAGAUUAUAAUUACUUUAUCACAAAAAAAUCUAUUCUAUUAUUAAUAAUAAUAAGUUCAGGAUUAAUAAAAAGUGUUAACAAUUGACUCUCAAUAAUCAACAAAUUACCACCAAUUAAACGGAUAAAAUCAAUACUUUACUCAUCGAGCUCUGCAAAACAACUGACUGAGAUGAAACUUUUUUUUCUGCUAUCACAUAACGGAAAAAUUUUCUCAGACAAAAUGAUACACGGAAAUGCAAUAUUACCUGUUCACCUUUCACCUCGAGGCCAUCGAAA